rnacentral:rRNA from 1 species
UACGUAGGGCGCAAGCGUUGUCCGGAAUUAUUGGGCGUAAAGAGCUCGUAGGCGGCUUGUCACGUCGGGUGUGAAAGCCCGGGGCUUAACCCCGGGUCUGCAUUCGAUACGGGCAGGCUAGAGUGUGGUAGGGGAGAUCGGAAUUCCUGGUGUAGCGGUGAAAUGCGCAGAUAUCAGGAGGAACACCGGUGGCGAAGGCGGCAUCCUGGACCGGCAUUGACACUGAAAAGCGAAAGCCAGGGGAGCAAACGGG